AGAUCAAAUAUAUUUUUAUUAAAAAUAACAAAAUAACUUGGUAUUCUUAGGUCUGUCCUGGUGUACUUCCAAGAGCAGAAAGAUCAACUAAGUGUCAAUUUCAGCAUAGAGAAUAAAAGAACAUAACAAUAAAUCCCUCAAACCUAUCUCAAGAGGAUUAAACUACAAUAGAUUUUUGCCAUAAGAACACUAAUAAAAUAGCAUCUAGAACACAGUGGGAUAGAAAAAUCAAAAAAAAAAUAAAAAAUCUUAGAACUUCCACAACUCUAUAUUAAUUUCAAACAAACCAUUCACUAUCUAAAUGGCUCUUUCGAAACUUCAAUUCAACAUUACAACACUAAGGGAAUAAGGAAGAGAAGAAACGAAAAAGUGAAUAAAACCAGCUACAAACGGAGAUUGAAAUCCAGCUAAAACAGCAACUACAUCACUCUAAAAACCAUAGCCCGAAACUUCAAACGAACCUCGAACAAAACUCGAAUUGAUCUCAGCACUGAAACCACUUCGACUCAAUAGAACUCCAUCUUCGAAACCUCCAAAAAUCCGAAAAUUGAAAGAGCAUAAACAAUAUUAUUUUUUGUAAUUUUUUUUGGUACUUUAACGAACCUAAAAAAUCCGAAAAUGAAAAGGACUAAAUUAAUUUUUUUUUUCGUUUGUAUUUUUCUUAUCGUUCAAAGAAACAGAAAAAUUAGAGAAGAAUAUUGAUGAUUUCUCAAACCCUAGUUAUUGUCUCAAUCUACUUCCUAAAAACUCUCCGAAAUUCUUUAAAAAAUCCUUCGAUUUAUAGCCUCUCUCGAAUGUCCGAAAAUUGGCCCAAAAAAUCCAGAAAAAAAAUCUCGAAUUGGCGAGAUAAGACAGAUGUAAGGAGUAGAUCGAGUGUGACUCGAUCUUAGGCCCCACACUUUAACUAUUUUUUCUAAAAAAGCAUAAAUCUGAAAGGAAAAAAUAAGAGAGCAUGCGUGAAAUCCGAAAAGAAUAAUUUCGUUUGUCAGAGGUCGUUAGGAUACAUGGCAAAGGGAGCAAGGAGGGACCAUGUGCACGAGUUUGGCGAGGAGUUGUGGCAGGUCAUUGCCGGCAGAGGCAUUUGGUAAAGAAAGGGGUGCGGGUGGGGAGUUGCACCUCGGGUUAGCUUAUUAGGUUAUAAUAGCCAUUAGAUCAAAUGGAAUAAAAAGUUGCGAUUUAAAAGAGAAAUUGGAGCGGGUCUAGUCAG
rnacentral:lncRNA from 1 species